rnacentral:rRNA from 1 species
GAUGAACGCUGGCGGCGUGCCUAAUACAUGCAAGUCGAGCGAACAGACGAGGAGCUUGCUCCUCUGACGUUAGCGGCGGACGGGUGAGUAACACGUGGAUAACCUACCUAUAAGACUGGGAUAACUUCGGGAAACCGGAGCUAAUACCGGAUAACAUGUUGAACCGCAUGGUUCAACAGUGAAAGACGGUUUUGCUGUCACUUAUAGAUGGAUCCGCGCCGCAUUAGCUAGUUGUUAAGGUAACGGCUUACCAAGGCAACGAUGCGUAGCCGACCUGAGAGGGUGAUCGGCAACACUAGAACUGAGACACGGUCCAGAAUCCUACGGGAGGCAGCAGUAGGGAAUAUUCGGCAAUGGGCGAAAGCAUGACGGAGCAAAGCCGCGUGAGUGAAGAAGGUCUUCGGAUCGUAAAACUCUGUUAUUAGGGAAGAACAAAUGUGUAAGUAACUAUGCACGUCUUGACGGUACCUAAUCAGAAAGCCACGGCUAACUACGUG